GGAUGAGUUGCGAACGGGUGAGUAACGCGUAGGUAACCUGCCUGGUAGCGGGGGAUAACUAUUGGAAACGAUAGCUAAUACCGCAUAAAAGUCGACAUCGCAUGAUGUUGACUUGAAAGGUGCAAUUGCAUCACUAAGAGAUGGACCUGCGUUGUAUUAGCUAGUUGGUGAGGUAACGGCUCACCAAGGCGACGAUACAUAGCCGACCUGAGAGGGUGAUCGGCCACACUGGGACUGAGACACGGCCCAGACUCCUACGGGAGGCAGCAGUAGGGAAUCUUCGGCAAUGGGGGCAACCCUGACCGAGCAACGCCGCGUGAGUGAAGAAGGUUUUCGGAUCGUAAAGCUCUGUUGUAAGAGAAGAACGAGUGUGAGAGUGGAAAGUUCACACUGUGACGGUAACUUACCAGAAAGGGACGGCUAACUACGUGCCAGCAGCCGCGGUAAUACGUAGGUCCCGAGCGUUAUCCGGAUUUAUUGGGCGUAAAGCGAGCGCAGGCGGUUAGAUAAGUCUGAAGUUAAAGGCUGUGGCUUAACCAUAGUACGCUUUGGAAACUGUUUAACUUGAGUGCAGAAGGGGAGAGUGGAAUUCCAUGUGUAGCGGUGAAAUGCGUAGAUAUAUGGAGGAACACCGGUGGCGAAAGCGGCUCU
rnacentral:rRNA from 1 species